rnacentral:lncRNA from 1 species
UCUGAUACCACUUGUAGGAUACUAGUCCAUCAACCCCUGCUCCCGCACGGGUUAAUAUUUUUAGAAGCUAUUGUAUUUGAAAAUUAUUUAGAAAUUAAACUCCUAGCUAAUAAUCAAAAUUGUUUACCUACUACUCUCUUAUUUUUCAAUACUUCAACAUAAUACUUAUAUAGACAUGUAUCUAUCUUUGUCCAGAUGUGAUUGAUUUUUAAUUAAUAAUUACUCUAUGCACGUUUUCAUCCAUAUUCGUACUUUUUCCAUUUUGUAUCAC